GCGGACGGGUGAGUAACGCGUGAGUAAUCUGCCUUAGACAGGGGGAUAACACAGGGAAACUUGUGCUAAUACCGCAUAACGUAGCGAAGUGGCAUCACUUUGUUACCAAAGGAGUAAUCCGGUUUGAGAUGAACUCGCGUCCGGUUAGCUAGUUGGUGGGGUAAUAGCCUACCAAGGCGACGAUCGGUAGCCGAACUGAGAGGUUGAUCGGCCACAUUGGGACUGAGACACGGCCCAGACUCCUACGGGAGGCAGCAGUGGGGAAUAUUGCGCAAUGGGGGAAACCCUGACGCAGCAACGCCGCGUGAAGGAUGAAGGUUUUCGGAUUGUAAACUUCUUUGAUGGGGGACGAAUAAAUGACGGUACCCCAAAAACAAGCCACGGCUAACUACGUGCCAGCAGCCGCGGUAAUACGUAGGUGGCGAGCGUUGUCCGGAAUUACUGGGUGUAAAGGGCGUGUAGGCGGGAUUGUAAGUCAGAUGUGAAAUUCCAGAGCUUAACUCUGGCGCUGCAUCUGAAACUGCGAUUCUUGAGUGCUGGAGAGGAUAGUGGAAUUCCUAGUGUAGCGGUGAAAUGCGUAGAUAUUAGGAGGAACACCAGUGGCGAAGGCGGCUAUCUGGACAGUAACUGACGCUGAGGCGCGAAAGCGUGGGGAGCAAACAGGAUUAGAUACCCUGGUAGUCCACGCUGUAAACGAUGAAUACUAGGUGUAGGAGGUAUCGACCCCUUCUGUGCCGGAGUUAACACAAUAAGUAUUCCACCUGGGGAGUACGGCCGCAAGGUUGAAACUCAAAGGAAUUGACGGGGGCCCGCACAAGCAGUGGAGUAUGUGGUUUAAUUCGACGCAACGCGAAGAACCUACCAGGGCUUGACAUACCAUUGACCGUACUAGAGAUAGUACUUUCCUUCGGGACAAUGGAUACAGGUGGUGCAUGGUUGUCGUCAGCUCGUGUCGUGAGAUGUUGGGUUAAGUCCCGCAACGAGCGCAACCCUUGUUUUUAGUUGCCAGCAUGUAAUGAUGGGCACUCUAGAGAGACUGCCGGUGAUAAAUCGGAGGAAGGUGGGGACGACGUCAAAUCAUCAUGCCCCUUAUGUCCUGGGCUACACACGUACUACAAUGGCUAUAACAACGUGACGCAAAACCGUAAGGUUAAGCAAAUCACUAAAAAAUAGUCUCAGUUCGGAUUGUGGGCUGAAACCCGCCCACAUGAAGUCGGAAUUGCUAGUAAUGGCAGGUCAGCAUACUGCCGUGAAUACGUUCCCGGGCCUUGUACACACCGCCCGUCUCACCAUGAGAGUCUGUAACACCCGAAGUCAGUAGACUAACCGUAAGGAGGUCGCUGCCGAAGGUGGGACCGAUGAUUGGGGUGAAGUCGGAACAAGGUA
rnacentral:rRNA from 1 species